rfam:Oryza rufipogon genomic scaffold, chr06
AUCCCAUGAUGCGGGCAGGCAGCCACGUACUCCUGGAGUCGUUCCCAUGCUUUGGGGAUUAACUCGUCCCUUGUCUGCUGGAAUACCGAAAUUUUCCCGCGAAGGGC